GGCCAACAACAACCGCCACAGUAUAAUCAAGGUCAACCACCACCACAGUAUAAUCAGUAUCCUCCACCAGGUGGCGCAGUGUAUCCACCUGUACAAAAUGCCGCAUAUCCACCACCAAUGGGAGCUCAUCCAGGUCAACCAGCUCCAUCAGCUUUCGCUUACAACCAACCACCACCACCGCCAUAUUCGGGAACAGCACCACAGAAACAAUAGCAUUGCAUUGCAAUUGUUUUAUAGCGGCUGUUGUCAAAGAAUUAUGUUGCCAUACAAAACAGGUUUUAAAGGACUUGCAAUUCAUCAAUGGAAUAACAUUCUGUUCUAAUUGUAUAACUUUGCUGUUUUGCAAUGUUUUAUUUGUACGGAAUAACAUUUAUUUCGGUAAUGAAAGUUUAUAAGAAUGAA